CACCACAACAGGUGGAGCCUGCGGUUUAAUCGGACUCAACGCCGGGAAACUCACCAGAUAAGACAGCUGAAUGAUAGUCGGGCUGAAGACUCUACUUGACUAGCUGAGAGGAGGUGCACGGCCGUCGUCAGUUCGUACUGUGAAGCAUCCUGUUAAGUCAGGCAACGAGCGAGACCCACGCCAACAGUUGCCAGCUCGUCCUCCGGGAUGGUGGGGACACUGUUGGGACCGCCUCUGCUAAAGAGGAGGAAGGAAUGGGCAACGGUAGGUCAGCAUGCCCCGAAUUAUCUGGGCUACACGCGGGCUACAAUGGGUGGGACAAUGGGUAUCGACACCGAAAGGUGAAGGCAAUCUCCUAAACCCAUCCGUAGUUCGGAUUGUGGGCUGCAACUCGCCCACAUGAAGCUGGAAUCUGUAGUAAUCGUGUCUCAAAAUGGCACGGUGAAUAUGUCCCUGCUCCUU
rnacentral:rRNA from 1 species